AAGUACUGCAUAUUGAUUGAGUUUAUCGAUUUCCUAUUUAGUUAAAUUGUUGUUGGUAAUUAUUGGGAGAAAUCAUUAACAUGACCGGUGUCUUCACAUAGAUGAAUAAUUAAUCAUUUGAACAAUUUUAAAAUUUCAUUUCAUAAGUGUGUAUCAAACUAGUUGUUUUAAUGAAAUAUUUCACGAGUGUGUGUAAUGCAUCUCUCCAAAAGUAUUUCUCCGAUUCAAAAAGGUUGGUGACGCCGUAUUGACAAUUAAGUGUCAACGUACACACACAAAAACAAAAUGAAAUCCUAAUGGCAUAUCACAUUCCGCGCAGUAGGGGGCGCGCUAGGACGAUGAGGCCCAUUGGUUCUUUCCACAACACUAGAUGGCAGCAGGUUUAGUUGUAGCUUCCGGUGGCGACUUUGCUGUUGACUGUAUAAACACUAACCGAUGAGUGACUUGUGUGUGUUUUCCUUCAUUUUAAUGACGAAUUGGUGACAACGGCGAGAAUGUUCAGCGGUCACCAUAUGAGGACUCGGGAAGCGAAGUGGCGACGAUGAAAUGUCGCGUGACCAAACAAGUGAAAAUGUGCUACCGUUAUGAUUAAAUGUCUGUCGGAAGAGGUGCGGGUGAAACUGCGUUCCGGUGUCGCCGUCCCGUCUCUUCAACAAUGCGUCGAGGAGCUCGUCCUCAACAGCCUCGACGCAGGGGCGACGUGUGUGGGCGUCCGGAUGGACCCGGAGGCGUUCAAGGUGCACCUGAUCGACAACGGCGCCGGGAUGAGCGCGGAGGACAUGGCGUGCGUGGGGAACAGAUACCACACCAGCAAAUGUCACUCACUGGGCGACCUGGACGAGCUCAGGUACUUCGGCUUCAGGGGUGAGGCCAUAGCAAGUAUAGUUACUCUAGCCACGCUUGUAGAAAUCUCAUCGCGAGCCAGAAACUCGGGCAGGACGCUUGUUAGGAUGUUCAAGAAUGGCAAAGGGACGCAUGUGUUCGAAAAGGACAUUUGUCGACCCACUGCUGGCACCACAGUUGUCGUUUGUAACUUCUUGCACAACUUGCCCGUGCGCAGGAAGAGGAUGGACCUUGUCCUGGAAGGCGAGAGGAUCAGACACCGGGUUGAGGCCAUUUCUCUAAUGCACCCCACUGUGUCCUUCACGUUGAAGAAUGACUGCACGGGAGCCAUGAUGGUGCAGCUCCCCAAAGCUAGAGACACCUAUCACAGGUUUAUCCAGAUCCACAGCCUGGCCCGAGCUCAGAAACUGGGAGAGGUCCAGCACACGCGUGGCCGGUUUGAGGUGACAGGUUACCUUGGCAGAGAGGGCCACUACAACGGUAGCUUGCAGUUCUUGUACGUGAACGGCAGACUUCUUCUAAAGACGCGCAUACACACGCUGCUGAACUCCCUUCUACGUAGGCUUAGCAGUCCAACUCAGAGGACCGACAGCCCAGAAAAACAGUCUGCUGUCAGGAGCCCCAAGCAGAAACGCAGCCAAGACCUUCACGGAAUGUACAUCAUUAAUAUUAAAUGUUCUUUUUCGGAGUAUGAUAUUAGUCUCGAGCCUGCCAAAACCCUAAUCGAGUUCAAAGACUGGGAUGGUGUUUUGCUUUGCAUAGAAGAGUCCAUAAAAGCUUUCCUGCGCAGGGAAAACUUGGUGCUCUCCCAAGAUGACUUGCAGGAGGCAUCGCCAAGGUUGUUUAAAGUCGACAAGGCCGCGCAAGAAAACAGCAGGGCUGAUCAGAGUGUCGGCACAGCCUCCAUUUGUGCGUUUGCGCCGACACUGGCGUCGCAAUCCGUUCAUCGUAAGCAUGAGGCUCACAUUGAAUCUAACGUGCUUGAAACUGAAAAUGAAGGCCAUGUUGGUCAGACUCGAUGGGAUCCCGUCAAUGGCGUUGCAGAAGAGGCUGAGCCCACGUUUCGUAAAGCUGUGAACUUUGAAAAAGAGAUCAGUUUAUCACAAACAACUGGAAAUGUCAAUUUGUAUGAAAGCAUCAAUCAAACAACUCUUGUUCCACAGAAUGCAGGGGGAGAAGAAAAGACUUUCAGAAAGAUCCGUGUGUCUUGUCCAUUCAUUCACAGAUGUCUGCAGGAGGCUUCCCACAACACCGGAACCCAAUUUGAUCAGAAGCAUCCAAAGCACAAAAUCUCCCUUGACGCACGCCACGGUAGAGUCUCACUGAGAACGCACAGAAACCUUUCUCAUCCCGUCCCCUCAAAGAUUCCCAAAACGGUAGCCAACGAAUCUGGGUCACUUGACGAGUUCCGAAGAAUUCAUGGAAAAUCUGUGGAGACCAGUGUCGCAUCGCUGGAGAGUCAGACUCUCACUCGACUACCUCAGCCAAACUUUGUAGAGGAUCCCCAGAAUGGUGCUCUUUCCCAGAACCAGCAACUCAAAGAGCCCCAAGACGAGAGACAAGAUGGCCCCCAAAACUCAGCUGCUCUAUUGGGGUACACCAAACUAAAACACACUUCAGCCAAACAAUCUUUAGCAGGUAAACUGAACCACCUGAAACAAAACGGGAGAAAAGACGCAGCACCACCUAGUUGUGCUUCUCAAGAUAAAGCAAGUCUCAUUAGUAACGAAGGCUUUCAAGACGGCAAUGAUAAUGCCUGUGAGACGGUUACUAGUGCUGCACCCGGUGACGUGGAGACCACCGCAACAUCUACUGACUGGCUCCAUCACUUCAAUACCGAAACGGGAAAAACCGUGUACAUCAACAAAGUGACCGGGCUCAGCAAAUACGAGGAACCACCGAUGGAAGAAACUCAGGCCCGCUGCACAUCUGAUGUCACCAACAUGGCUGUUAGUGUCGUCUCCCAAACAGGGAUGGAAUACAGGUGUUACCCGUUCCAUGCAGAGCUGGUGCUGCCCUUCCUGCCUAAAGCUGGAAGGGAAAGAGUGCUUAGUGCAGGGACAGAUGACACAGGUGACAAUGUCAAGACCGGCAACUCACUCUCGUCUUUGUUCUCAAACUGGAACAACCCUGUGUUUGUGCGGCCUCCUGAGGUGGGUGUGGACAUCUCAAGUGGGCAAGCUGGUGGGCUGGCUGUAAAGAUCCACAACAUCCUGUUUCCGUACCGCUUCUCUAAAGCCAUGAUACACUCUAUGAAGGUGAUCAAUCAAGUUGAUAACAAGUUUCUUGCGUGCCUUAUCAAUACAACUGAUGAUACAGACAGUGAAGGGAAUCUUUUGGUACUGUUGGACCAACACGCUGCACAUGAAAGAGUGCGUCUUGAAAACUUAAUAGCAGAUUCCUUUGAGGAGGAUCCAAACGCAAUCGGUGAGAGACGCCUGUGUUCAUCCACUAUUUUGCCGCCUCUGCACAUCUGUGUGACGGAAGAGGAACAAAGGUUGCUCAGUAAAAGCCUAAAGGUUUUGUGCUGCCACUGACUGGUAUUUGGAACUGUUCAUAAUUCCCUUUACCUUGACUAAGGCCCCAGUUCCCGAAGAAUAACUGCCCCAACGAACGAUGCUGCCACCACCAUGCUUCACUGUAGGUAUGGCGUUCAUUUGCUGAUAAACAAUGUCGUGUUUGCGUCAAACAUACACUAUAUUGCCAAAAGUAUUUGCUCAACUUGAUUGACUUGAUUCGGAUAUGAACUUACAGUAAGUGACAUCCCAUUCCGAAUCCAUAGGGUUCAAUAUGUCGUCGGUCACACUUUGCAGCUAUACAGUAACAGCUUCAACGCUUCUGGGAAGGCUGUCCACAAGGCUUAAGAGUUUGUUUAUGGGAUUUGUGAGAUCACACACUGAAGUUGGACGAGCCGUCUGGCCUUCUCACUCCCAUCCCACGGGAAUCCCGCUUGACCCGCAGGACCUGGUGGGAAUCCUGAAAAAUGUCAGUCUGAGAGUCGGGCCUCCUCGUCCAACGUCGCUGUAUAACCUUACAAAUGCGCUUCUGGAAGAAUGGUAAAACAAUUCACGACACACACUCCUCUUCAGAAGAGUUAAAGCUGUUAUAGCUGUAAAACCCCUAUUGAUUAAGAAGGGGAUGUCACUUCAAAUCAUAUAUGUGAGUUUAAGGAAGGUGAGCAUAUACUUUUGGCAAUAUAGUGUACCUUUUGCGGUUAUGGGCAAAAAGUUCAACCUUGGCUUCAUCAGACUGUAACAAAAUCUCCCAAACACGUGUGAAAAUGUCUGAGGGAAUUAUGAACCGUUUGAAGCACAAAACCCUGAGGCUUCUGCUUGAACAGCUGAAAUUUAUUUGGGGUUAAUCAGAGGUACUUUAAAAGGUGCCAGGUGUGUGCUAACUCCCCUUUACCGUGAGUUUAAAUGUGAUUGGUUAAUUCUGAACACAGCCACGACCCAAUUACAGGAGGAUGUGCACACUUGUGCAAGCACAUUAUCUCAGUUGUUUAUUUUUCUCCUCUUGAAAAGAUGGUGGAAAAAGUUUUGAAAUGAUUUAGCGUGGUCUCCUUUUUCCCCCCCCCCUAUAUCACAAAAACCUGGUAUUUGUACAGGGGUGUGAAGACUUUUUAUAUCGCCUAUAAAAGCUCUCACCAUAUUCUUUGUGUUAGUUACUCCGCUCUACGGGUAGGGUGAAAGGAACUCUACCACUCACGGUGCUGAAAGUCCUCGCCUCUCUUGCUUGCCACGGCGCCAUUAAAUUCAACGACCGCCUGAAUCGAGAUGAGUGUCACAGCCUGGUGGCGUCUUUGUCGUCCUG